GCUCAGGAUGAACGCUAGCUACAGGCUUAACACAUGCAAGUCGAGGGGUAGCAGGGUAGCAAUACCGCUGACGACCGGCGCACGGGUGAGUAACACGUAUCCAACCUUCCCAUAACUCGGGGAUAGCCUUUCGAAAGAAAGAUUAAUACCCGAUAGUACUUUAUUAAGGCAUCUUAAGAAAGUUAAAGAUUUAUUGGUUAUGGAUGGGGAUGCGUUCCAUUAGAUAGUUGGUGAGGUAACGGCUCACCAAGUCUUCGAUGGAUAGGGGUUCUGAGAGGAAGGUCCCCCACAUUGGUACUGAGACACGGACCAAACUCCUACGGGAGGCAGCAGUGAGGAAUAUUGGUCAACGGGCGAGAGCCUGAACCAGC
rnacentral:rRNA from 1 species